CCAGACUCCUACGGGAGGCAGCAGUGAGGAAUAUUGGUCAAUGGGCGAGAGCCUGAACCAGCCAAGUCGCGUGAGGGAGUACUGCCCUAUGGGUUGUAAACCUCUUUUGUCGGGGAGCAAAAGCCGGACGUGUCCGUCUGUGAGAGUACCCGAAGAAAAAGCAUCGGCUAACUCCGUGCCAGCAGCCGCGGUAAUACGGAGGAUGCGAGCGUUAUCCGGAUUUAUUGGGUUUAAAGGGUGCGCAGGCGGAUUUUUAAGUCAGCGGUCAAAUCGUGGGGCUCACCCCCAUCCAGCCGUUGAAACUGGGGAUCUAGAGUGUGCGAGAGGUAUGCGGAAUACGUGGUGUAGCGGUGAAAUGCUUAGAUAUCACGAAGAACUCCGAUUGCGAAGGCAGCUCACUGGACUGCAACUGACACUGAGGCUCGAAAGUGUGGGUAUCAAACAGGAUUAGAUACCCCAGUAC
rnacentral:rRNA from 1 species